ensembl:lncRNA
UGGUAAACCGGGCUGCUAAUUCCCCAUGACAUUUGACCUUUCAACUCCAACCAGCUGAGUGGCAGCUGAAUAUAAAGCCACAGCUGGAUGUUGACAGUUCUUGGCCUCAAACAGAGAGAGGGAGGAAGGUGCAGAUGCCACCCAUCUCCUGUGGGCAGAAGGGGCAAGCAACCUGAUUUGCUUGAUGAUGUGUCCCAGUUCUAACCGAGGAGACACGGGGUAUAAGCUCCUUUAUGGUUUCCCCCCCAAAACAAAGGGCCCCCUUCCAGGAGCACAACUCUUUAUGUGCACUUGUGUCUGUUCACAGCAACUUUAGCGUGGCCAGGAGUCCAGGAAAAUACGAUGGGGUUCCUCGAGGACCACCCCAAGAAGCUUCAGACUUGGUUCUCCUGUGAUGUCAGGAAGCCGAUGGACGCCUGCGGCUGCUUGUUGCUGUUGUCACUGCAGGGGCCGGGGCGCUAGAAGAGAGGAAGUUUGUGCCCCAGAGAGGAGCCAAAUGAGCACCCCGAACAGAGAGACGGCAGGGGCAGACUUCCAGAGUCAGGAUGGACCUCACGAUGCUGGAGUCCAGAGGGAAGCAGAAGAGAGGGACAGAGACUUCUGAAGUCUUGCUCGAGCUCGCCUCCUCUCCGGAGGGACCUUUGCUUCCAGAAUGGAGCCGUUUCUCGGCACUUCGGUCUAUUUUUGCAGUAGAGCUGGCUGCCCCAUGCCAAGGUUUCUUACCACAAAUAGAACUUCUGGAAGGGCCCACUGGUUUCCUCCGCGCUUCCAGACACCUCUUCACAUUUCAUCUGGCUUCCCUUCUCCAGCCCCAAAAGGGAAUAUUCCGAGUCUCCUCUGUGUUGCUGUGAUGAGGGCACCUCCAGAGGCCCUCCAGGGGGACUCCCUCGGGGCGGCCGUGAGCCUGGCCUGGCGCUUGGGCUCUGGCCUCUGGCCCACCCCGCCACCACUCCCCACAAGCUGAGCUGUGAAGCCCCAGGGGGCUGAGUCCCAGGGUGAAUCCCAAAUGGAAGGCUCACCCCUGAGUGAGAUGGUGAAACAGACGAACCACACUCAGCCCUCUGGCCCCUCACCUGUCAUUUAACGUGGGCUUUGAGAACUCAUCACUCCGAGUGUCAUGGCCAAGGGAUAUAAAACUGAGACACUUCCCUAAACGGGAUGCCUGGAGUCUGGACACGCUGGAAACAUCCCUACGAGCUGAAUUAAAACAGGUGGGGGGAAAUAAAAGCUCACCUCACCAACCUGCUAGGAAUUGUCAACCAGGCAAGAGCUAAGUGGGCCCAAGAUCAGCUUUGGUUUGUCAGGGUCUGAGGUUAGACCAUGCAGGGGAAAGCUACUUUCUCAGGUGCUUGAGACAGAGCUUCGGAAGAUUCCAGAACAGCAGCAACAAACCCAAUCAUUUGAAAGGCUCCCAUGUUAU